GUCCUGAAUUUUUUAUGAAACUAGUAAGUUUUUGUGUACAUUUUAAAUAUUAUAAAUACUUUUCAGAUAUAAAAAUUUUCAUGUCUGAUAACAUGUAAAUACUGUCGCACCGUACAAUAACAAAUUAAUGAACAAAUGAGAUUUAUCCUGAAGGUACAGAGCUAGCAAUUUAAUCAAGGUAAAACAUGUAAUUCUUUUUUUUAAAUAAACGUUUUGUUGUCCUAACAUGAACAUAUCUACAACUAUACAUACAAACAAUAGUUGAACAGCAUAAACCUUACAGAAAAAGGAGAGAAAAUGCUCCAGAUGGAGACACACUUCCGAAAAUUCCAUUCGUAUAUCCAAAAAUUAAAUGAACAAUCACUUAAAGAGAAUAAUCCUCACUUUGAACAGUGACUUAAGAGCUGAUCAACUGUUUCAUUGUUCCAAAGGUAUUUCCAAUCAUCUAAAUAAUCCGUUUUGUUUACUACAUGGCUGAUAAUUUCUUUCUUAUUUUAGGAUCAGUAUGAAUAUAUCUACAAGUGUAUCAAGGAACAUUUAAAGGAAGUAGACUCGUAAUAUAUGCAAAUUUUUAGUGAUGUGAAACUCUUAUUUGUAUAUAUAUAUAUAUAAGAAUGUUCCUGGCCACUUGCACAUGGAGAUAUAAUUAUAACAGUUUAAAAGCUUUAAAUUCAAAGAGAACAAGUGGAUAAGUCCAAAUUAUACGUUGUUUUAUUUUUUUAUUAUUUUUACUUUUUAUAUAACAGAUUUUUUAUAUAAACAUCACUUAAACAUGCAUUCAUUUAAAGCCUUUAUUAAUCACACGUACACUAUUCAUUUGUUAGAUUAUCUGCUGAACCGUAGCUCUUAGGUCCUUAUGAUAUUUUUUGACAAUUUGCAGACUAUAUUCUUGAUCCCAUAAUGGUUGUAUCUUAUUAGUAAAGAGAAUCAACGUAUAUAAGUGAAAUAACAUAUAAACACUGAAAGGGACAUUUUUGUUGAAUUAGUUUGAACUGAACAUCCCUGUUGUUAUUCUGGUGUAAAACAAAGUGAAAUCAUAAGUUAUAAAUCACAUUUAAUUUGACUUAUUUUGUUAUAUAUAUAUUUGUCAUACCUCAAUGAAUGUUUGCUGUCUUGUUUAAAUCCUCUAGCAGGUAUCAGAUAUCAGUAUAGUGAAAAGACAGAUAUAAAUAAAGGAUGUAUUAUUUCUUAAAAAUUAUGUAUUUAUUUUCUAUAUUUUGCUUUUAGUUUCUGUAUGGUAAAUAUAUACUAGUAUACAUUUUCCACUAUAUUUUUGUUUUUAUUGACAAACACGGUAAUUGACUUUUCCAUGUUGUAUGUUUUGAACUGAUGUUAAUGAUAAUGUGUGCCUGCUUAACUUCUUAACGUGCUCUGUACAGAUAAAAUGCACUACCCAAUCACUAUACAUGUACAUAUAUCAGGAAAACUGCCAGAAAAUUUAUUUCAGUUUUAUUUUAUAUCAUAUUUUUCAUUAGUAUCAGUUCAAAUAAAUGUUAAAAACUUUAGUGAAU
rnacentral:lncRNA from 1 species